rnacentral:rRNA from 1 species
UGAAAUCUGGCCCUCGGGUCCGAGUUGUAAUUUGUAGAGGAUGCUUUUGGUGCGGUGCCUUCCGAGUUCCCUGGAACGGGACGCCAUAGAGGGUGAGAGCCCCGUCUGGUUGGACACCAAGCCUCUGUAAAGCUCCUUCGACGAGUCGAGUAGUUUGGGAAUGCUGCUCUAAAUGGGAGGUAUAUGUCUUCUAAAGCUAAAUACCGGCCAGAGACCGAUAGCGCACAAGUAGAGUGAUCGAAAGAUGAAAAGCACUUUGAAAAGAGGGUUAAAUAGUACGUGAAAUUGUUGAAAGGGAAGCGCUUGUGACCAGACUUGAGCCCGGUUAAUCAUCCAGCCUUCUGGCUGGUGCACUUGGCCGGCUCAGGCCAGCAUCAGUUCGGCGCGGGGGAUAAAGGCUUCGGGAAUGUGGCUCCUCCGGGAGUGUU